GCCUUUGCCUGAUCUUGCUGCAUGAGGAUAACAAAAAUAACUGCAAGAAAUGGAAAAUGGAGGUUGAUGUUGAGGUAAAUUUCUAGGAGUGGACAGUAGAUUGCAACUUUCUUGCUAUAUGCUACUUGCUGCAGUUUCUUCACUGGAAUAAAUCUCAAGUCAUGAAGGAUAGAUGCCUUCAUGCUUGCAGAAGAAGAGGGUCUCACCAAGAAGAGGACUGAAAGCAAUUGUACACUGAGCCCAAAGAUAAAGAGAAUGAGCAACUCUUUCCAGACUGGAUCUGUUGCAAGGAGCCAGAGAGAGGCAUGAUGGGAGAAUCUGUCACUCAUGACACUUUGGGAUUAUCAUGAUUGAACACUCUGUUUUGAUUGUAAGCAGUGGACCAGUUUGUAUGGUCAGCAACGCAGAUUGGACUUUUAGAAGUAUAACAGGUAUGAUUGAUCCAUAGUAGUUUCUGUCGGCUUCCCAAUAUCUUUAU
rnacentral:lncRNA from 1 species